UACGUAGGGACCAAGCGUUGUUCGGAUUUACUGGGCGUAAAGGGCGCGUUAGGCGGCUUAACAAGUCACUUGUGAAAUCUCCGGGCUUAACUCGGAACGGCCAAGGUGAAAACCUGUCAAGCUAGAGUGCAGAAGGGGGCAAUCGGAAUUCUUGGUGUAGCGGGUGAAAUGCGUAGAUAUCAAAGAGGAACACCUGAGGUGAAGACGGGGUUGCUGGGCUGACACUGACGCUGAGGCGCGAAAGCCAGGGGAGCAAACGGG
rnacentral:rRNA from 1 species